GUCGAAGACGAGCUAAUACCGAUAAGACCACAGCUUUCCGAGGAAACAGGGGUUAAAGGUAGCCUCUAUUUAUAAGCUACCGCUUAAAGAUGGGCCCGCGUACCAUUAGCUAGUUGGUGGGGUAACGGCCUACCAAGGCAAAGAUGGUUAGCUGGUCUGAGAGGAUGAUCAGCCACACUGGAACUGAGACACGGUCCAGACUCCUACGGGAGGCAGCAGUGGGGAAUAUUGCGCAAUGGGCGAAAGCCUGACGCAGCAACGCCGCGUGAGUGAUGAAGGCCUUCGGGUCGUAAAGCUCUGUCGGAGGGAACGAAUGAUUUCGGGGUUAACAGCCCCGGAAAGUGACGGUACCCUCAAAGGAAGCACCGGCUAACUCUGUGCCAGCAGCCGCGGUAA
rnacentral:rRNA from 1 species